rnacentral:rRNA from 1 species
ACGGGUGCGUAACGCGUAUGCAACCUACCUUAUACUGAGGGAUAGCCCAGAGAAAUUUGGAUUAAUACCUUAUAGUAUAUCGAGUUGGCAUCAACAUGAUAUUAAAGAUUUAUCGGUGAAAGAUGAGCAUGCGUCCCAUUAGUUAGUUGGUAAGGUAACGGCUUACCAAGACAGCGAUGGGUAGGGGCCCUGAGAGGGGGAUCCCCCACACUGGUACUGAGACACGGACCAGACUCC